GUUGGUGGCAAAAGUCUAAAAAACAUAAGUUAUAAGGAGUAGCAGUAGACUUGAAUUCCCGUAUUGAUCAGAAUCGAGACUCGAUUCUUGAUUGAAGUGUAGUGAGUGUAGUGUUUCCUGGGACUUCGCUGUCAGCAUUUAUGGAAUGACGGAAAGGUCUUAGAGCACAGUCUUGUCCUUUGUGGACAGGGCUGCUAAGGGAUCUCCUGGAAGUCAUUCCCAACUUUAGCCAUCGAUGGACCAGGAGCGUAAAAGCAAAAUGUAAAGGUUCAAAGUGAGUCGUUUCGAUUUAUCAGCUGGCACUGAUGAUAAUCGUGAUGAAUUCCGUGGGAAACGCAAAAGUUUGUGAAGUAACUUAUGUCGAUAGAAUUUUGGAGGGUUAGUUUGCGACGUGGGUCAUUAUUUUCGGGGUGAUUCCUGGGGAAAUUUUUUCUAAAUUCCUUCAAGUACAAAUUUUCUUCAUUCACGACACUAGGUAUCUUCUCAUCUUUUCGAUAUACUUCUGAUAGUCCUUCAGUAGCGGUCCAAUUAUUUAAAUCGAAGUACAAUAUUUUGUGGAGUAACUUUAUGUCGAUAGAAUUCUGGAGGAUUUGUUUGCGAAGUGGGUCAUUAUUUUCGGGAAAAUUCCUGGGGAAAUUCCUUCGAAAUGACCAUGUCAUCUUUGAAGAAUUUUCUUGUAGUGCUUUCCUCAGAAUGAAUGAACCUUCAAGAACACAUUUUCUAUAUUCACGACACUAAGUAUCUUCUCAUCUUAUCGAUAUACUUCUGAUA